AUUGAACGCUGGCGGCAGGCCUAACACAUGCAAGUCGAGCGAGCGGCGGACGGGGGAGUAAUGUCUGGGAAACUGCCUGAUGGAGGGGGAUAACGACUGGAAACGGUAGCUAAUACCGCAUACCAUCAGAUUGGCCCAGAUGGGAUUAGCUAGUAGGUGGGGUAACGGCUCACCUAGGCGACGAUCCCUAGCUGGGCUGCGAGGAUGACCAGCCACACUGGAACUGAGACACGGUCCAGACUCCUACGGGAGGCAGCAGUGGGGAAUAUUGCACAAUGGGCGAAAGCCUGAUGCAGACAUGCCGCGUGUGUGAAGAAGGCCUUCGGGUUGUAAAGCACUUUCAGCGGGGAGGCGUUACCCGCAGAAGAAGCACCGGCUAACUCCGUGCCAGCAGCCGCGGUAAUAC
rnacentral:rRNA from 1 species